AUGAGUAACCUCUCUAGCGUGAUCUAUGUGCAGUUAACGCAGCCUCUUCUGAAAAUACGAUCGCUUCUAAACAACGCAUAUGUUUAUGCACGUAGAAUGUCAAUACCUGUCGCGUGUGACGUGUGAAGUAACUAAUGUUCCUUGAUCUAUCGCUUCCGGUACGUUGAACAAACUUCUCGAAUUUGAAACCGUUCUACAUAUUAUUAUUCUAUGGCGUAACGCUGCGAUCCUUCACUAUGAUUCCAUCGGUUAAUAUAUAGUAGCUCACGAAAGUAUUUGAAUGCUUAUAGAAAUUUUUUAGUGUUAAUAUUAUCACGAAAUACGAAUGGUUCUAUCGGUAAAGUUUGAAAUAAAUCUGAAAAUAUAUAUAGUGAUUACAAAAUAUUUAGUGCAAAUAUAUAUUUCACAAAGAUCAUAGAAGUAUUAAGCAACCAAUUAUUCGUUACAUUAAUAAGUCUUAAUAUUCAGUGAAAAAGACCAUCUUUAACAUUUAUUAUAUGCUUAAGAUUGAUCUCAAAUUUAACCAGUAUAUUCAGGAUAAUUACGCCUCACUACGAUAAAGACGAAAUGUAAUUUCUAAAUGUUUUAUAUAAUACACGUAACAUAUGCACGAAGGUUUUCUAUGGUAAAAAAAAAAAAAAAAAAAAAAAAAAAACAAAACGACCAUGAACGAGUUUUGGAAAAAUAACACGAUCUUUCUUCUUAGAAGAUCAAAAAGAACUGAUAAAUUCUUCUGCGUCUUAGAACGAAAAACGAAUCCCGAAGGCCGAUGCACGUGCAGAAGCGCCGCAAGAAAAGUGUUCCGCUUACAUAAAUCUCAUCAGCUUGAAAGCCGCGGGUGCUGGAUUACUUCUAUCGUGACAGGCUGCCGGCAGUCUCUCCAACGGAGUUG